UACAGAGGUCUCAAGCGUUGUUCGGAUUCAUUGGGCGUAAAGGGUGCGUAGGCGGCGCGGUAAGUCGGGUGUGAAAUCUUGGAGCUUACUCCGAAACUGCAUUCGAUACUGCCGUGCUUGAGGACUGGAGAGGAGACGUGGAAUUUACGGUGUAGCGGUGAAAUGCGUAGAUAUCGAUAAGGAAGACCAGUGGCGAAGGCGG
rnacentral:rRNA from 1 species